rnacentral:rRNA from 1 species
UUGCGGCCGGCGUACAGGUGGCUGCAUGGCUGUCGUCAGCUCGUGCUGUGAAGUGUUGGGUUAAGUCCCGCAACGAGCGCAACCCCUCGCUGCCUGUUGCCACCACGAGAGGUGGGGACGUCAGGCGGGACCGCCGGUGACAAACCGGAGGAAGGUGGGGAGUGACGUCAAGUCAUCAUGGCCCUUAUGUCCAGGGCGACACACGUGCUACAAUGGCCGGCACAGCGGGAAGCGAGGCAGUGAUGCCAAGCGGAUCCCUUAAAGCCGGUCUCAGUUCGGAUUGAAGUCUGCAACUCGACUUCAUGAAGCUGGAAUCGCUAGUAAUCGCAGAUCAGCCAAGCUGCGGUGAAUACGUUCCCGGGCCUU